GAUGAAGAACGCAGCGAAAUGCGAUAAGUAAUGUGAAUUGCAGAAUUCAGUGAAUCAUCGAAUCUUUGAACGCACCUUGCACCCUUUGGCAUUCCGAAGGGUAUGCUCGUUUGAGUGUCAUUGUACUCUCACACUCUCCGAUCCUAUGGAUUCGGGGAGCGGUGGACUUGGGUGUUGCUGCCUUUCCUUGUGGCUCACCUCAAAUGUGUCAGUGCACCUCUUGGUUGGACAUAGUACGGCGUGAUAAGUGUCUUCGCCGGCACCUCGCAAGAGGGUGGCCGAUCGGGAGCUCUGUGCUUUCAAACCGUCUUCGGACAAUUUCUGACAACUUGACCUCAAAUCGAGUAGGACUACCCGCUGAACUUAAGCAUAUCAAUAAGCGGAGGA
rnacentral:misc_RNA from 1 species